rnacentral:lncRNA from 11 species
GAAAAACUUAACUAAGGCAAUGAAAAAGCAAAGUGAAGCCUUAACUGAUUUGUAACUGAUGUUUUAAUUCAUAAGUGACUCAAAGAUAAAAUAAGGUGUUUCCAUUGGCCCACAAAUCAGAGAUGUGAUGAAGGAUAGCCACUUCGAUGUUUUUUUGUUUUUUUUACAGGGUGCAAAACAUAUUGCAACUUUCCAGGCAACUAUAAAGCAGGACGCCUGGGGAACAUUGAUCGGGACUGACAGCUUCAUGCCUGGACUUUCUGUUAGGGGGAACCAGAGCCUGCAACAUUCACAAACUAUUGAACAAUCAGAUCCAUGACUCAUCUACACCACCUGGACUUCCUACAUUUUGUUGGAUAACAUUUCUGGCCACAGAUGGGUGGUUUGGCAAGUACAUCCUCCAGCCAGCGACAGAAUGUGAAGGAACUGUGGUUAUGUCGGCUUUGGGGGAAUCGCCUUCUCUGAAAACUUUUCAAAGCAGCACACUAUGAUCCUGGCUCCAUCCUCUCGUUCAUGUUAUGUCUACAAGCCAAAAUUCAUUUUACAUAGAAAUGGAGAUAUGUAGCCUUUAAAGUAUCAAAUAAAAUGUGAGAUGAGAUGAAUGCAGUUGCUAGUUUUUCUCUUUGAGAAUUCCCAAGUAAUAAAU